rnacentral:rRNA from 1 species
UCAGGAUGAACGCUAGCUACAGGCUUAACACAUGCAAGUCGAGGGGCAGCAUGUGGUGCUGCAACCGAUGAUGGCGACCGGCGCACGGGUGAGUAACGCGUAUCCAACCUUCCCUAUAGUAGAGGAUAGCCCGGCGAAAGUCGGAUUAAUACUCUAUGUUGUUCAAUGCAGACAUCUAAGUUGAAUCAAAGGUUCACCGCUAUAGGAUGGGGAUGCGUCUGAUUAGGUAGUCGGCGGGGUAACGGCCCACCGAGCCAUCGAUCAGUAGGGUUCUGAGAGGAAGGUCCCCCACAUUGGAACUGAGACACGGUCCAAACUCCUACGGGAGGCAGCAGUGAGGAAUAUUGGUCAAUGGGCGAGAGCCUGAACCAGCCAAGUAGCGUGCAGGAUGACGGCCCUAUGGGUUGUAAACUGCUUUUAUACAGGGAUAAAGUCGGGGACGUGUCCCCGUUUGUAGGUACUGUAUGAAUAAGGACCGGCUAAUUCCGUGCCAGCCGCAGC